UACAGAGGUCUCGAGCGUUAGGCGGAAUCACUGGGCUUAAAGCGUGUGUAGGCGGAUCGGUAAGUACCUUGUGAAAUCCCACAGCUUAACUGUGGAACUGCUUGGUAUACUGCCGAGUCUUGAGCCAGCUAGGGGCUACCGGAACAAAUGGUGGAGCGGUGAAAUGCGUAGAUAUCAUUGGAACGCCAAUGGUGAAAACAGGUAGCUGGGGCUGUGCUGACGCUGAGACACGAAAGCCAGGGGAGCAAACGGG
rnacentral:rRNA from 1 species